UACGUAGGGGGCUAGCGUUGUCCGGAUUUAUUGGGCGUAAAGAGCGUGUAGGCGGCCAGGUAGGUCUGGUGUGAAAACUCGAGGCUCAACCUCGAGACGUCGGCGGAAACCAUCUGGCUAGAGUCCGGAAGAGGAGAGUGGAAUUCCUGGUGUAGCGGUGAAAUGCGCAGAUAUCAGGAAGAACACCCGUGGCGAAGGCGGCUCUCUGGGACGGUACUGACGCUGAGAGCGAAAAGCGUGGGGGAGCGA
rnacentral:rRNA from 1 species